UACAGAGGGUGCAAGCGUUAAUCGGAAUUACUGGGCGUAAAGCGUGCGUAGGCGGUUAUUUAAGUCAGGUGUGAAAGCCCCGGGCUCAACCUGGGAAUUGCAUUUGAAACUGAAUAGCUAGGGUGCGGAAGAGGGAAGCGGAAUUUCCGGUGUAGCGGUGAAAUGCGUAGAUAUCGGAAGGAACACCAGUGGCGAAAGCGGCUUCCUGGUCCAGCACCGACGUUCAGGCACGAAAGCGUGGGGAGCAAACAGG
rnacentral:rRNA from 1 species